GACUCUGGAGAGCUAAGGUGAAGACUGGUUAGGUCCUUGCUGCCCUUUAGCAUUUAUAACUAAAGAUACAGGUUAAUUUUCAGCUGAAGUUCCCUUAUCUAAUAUAGUUUCAUGACGACUAACUGCAAGAAGAGACGCAGCAAGUAAGUGGCAGCAGGACUGCCCCCUUCGGUAGCAGCUUGCAUUUAGAUUGGCUUCAGUUUGUUGAGAAACUCAAGUUUCAGCAAUGUCCUGCUUUGUGGCACCUCAGACCGUCCUAAAUCUCAAGCCCUUCUUUUGGGGAGGGAGGUCUUGGCUACCAUGUAUGUAAGCUGA